CUGCAUCGUGAUGGGGAUAGAUUAUUGCAAUUAUUAAUCUUCAACGAGGAAUGCCUAGUAAGCGCGAGUCAUCAGCUCGCGUUGAUUACGUCCCUGCCCUUUGUACACACCGCCCGUCGCUCCUACCGAUUGGGUGUGCUGGUGAAGCGUUCGGAUUGGCGUUAGUGGGCGGUUUUCCGCCUCCUCUCGCUGAGAAGUUCGUUAAACCCUCCCACCUAGAGGAAGGAGAAGUCGUAACAAGGUUUCCGUAGGUGAACCUGCGGAAGGAUCAUUG
rnacentral:rRNA from 1 species